rnacentral:rRNA from 1 species
CCUACGGGUGGCUGCAGUGGGGAAUAUUGGACAAUGGGCGAAAGCCUGAUCCAGCCAUGCCGCGUGUGUGAAGAAGGUCUUAGGAUCGUAAAGCACUUUAAGUUGGGAGGAAGGGCAGUAACUUAAUACGUUGCUGUUUUGACGUUACCGACAGAAUAAGCACCGGCUAACUCUGUGCCAGCAGCCGCGGUAAUACAGAGGGUGCAAGCGUUAAUCGGAAUUACUGGGCGUAAAGCGCGCGUAGGUGGUUCGUUAAGUUGGAUGUGAAAUCCCCGGGCUCAACCUGGGAACUGCAUUCAAAACUGUCGAGCUAGAGUAUGGUAGAGGGUGGUGGAAUUUCCUGUGUAGCGGUGAAAUGCGUAGAUAUAGGAAGGAACACCAGUGGCGAAGGCGACCACCUGGACUGAUACUGACACUGAGGUGCGAAAGCGUGGGGAGCAAACAGGAUUAGAUACCCAAGUAGUC